rnacentral:rRNA from 1 species
UUAAGCGACUAAGCGUACACGGUGGAUGCCCUGGCAGUCAGAGGCGAUGAAGGACGUGCUAAUCUGCGAAAAGCGUCGGUAAGGUGAUAUGAACCGUUACAGCCGGCGAUGUCCGAAUGGGGAAACCCAGUGUGAUUCGUCACACUAUCGUUAACUGAAUACAUAGGUUAACGAGGCGAACCGGGGGAACUGAAACAUCUAAGUACCCCGAGGAAAAGAAAUCAACCGAGAUUCCCCCAGUAGCGGCGAGCGAACGGGGAGCAGCCCAGAGUCUGAAUCAGCUUGUGUGUUAGUGGAACGGUCUGGAAAGUCCGACGGUACAGGGUGAUAGUCCCGUACACCAAAAUGCACAGGCUGUGAACUCGAAGAGUAGGGCGGGACACGUGGUAUCCUGUCUGAAUAUGGGGGGACCAUCCUCCAAGGCUAAAUACUCCUGACUGACCGAUAGUGAACCAGUACCGUGAGGGAAAGGCGAAAAGAACCCCGGCGAGGGGAGUGAAAAAGAACCUGAAACCGUGUACGUACAAGCAGUGGGAGCACCUUCGGGUGUGACUGCGUACCUUUUGUAUAAUGGGUCAGCGACUUAUAUUCUGUAGCAAGGUUAACCGUAUAGGGGAGCCGCAGGGAAACCGAGUCUUAACUGGGCGUUAAGUUGCAGGGUAUAGACCCGAAACCCGGUGAUCUAGCCAUGGGCAGGUUGAAGGUUGGGUAACACUAACUGGAGGACCGAACCGACUAAUGUUGAAAAAUUAGCGGAUGACUUGUGGCUGGGGGUGAAAGGCCAAUCAAACCGGGAGAUAGCUGGUUCUCCCCGAAAGCUAUUUAGGUAGCGCCUCGUGAAYUCAUCUUCGGGGGUAGAGCACUGUUUCGGCUAGGGGGUCAUCCCGACUUACCAACCCGAUGCAAACUACGAAUACCGAAGAAUGUUAUCACGGGAGACACACGGCGGGUGCUAACGUCCGUCGUGAAGAGGGAAACAACCCAGACCGCCAGCUAAGGUCCCAAAGUCAUGGUUAAGUGGGAAACGAUGUGGGAAGGCACAGACAGCCAGGAUGUUGGCUUAGAAGCAGCCAUCAUUUAAAGAAAGCGUAAUAGCUCACUGGUCGAGUCGGCCUGCGCGGAAGAUGUAACGGGGCUAAACCAUGCACCGAAGCUGCGGCAGCGACACUAUGUGUUGUUGGGUAGGGGAGCGUUCUGUAAGCCUGCGAAGGUGACCUGUGAGGGUUGCUGGAGGUAUCAGAAGUGCGAAUGCUGACAUAAGUAACGAUAAAGCGGGUGAAAAGCCCGCUCGCCGGAAGACCAAGGGUUCCUGUCCAACGUUAAUCGGGGCAGGGUGAGUCGACCCCUAAGGCGAGGCCGAAAGGCGUAGUCGAUGGGAAACAGGUUAAUAUUCCUGUACUUGGUGUUACUGCGAAGGGGGGACGGAGAAGGCUAUGUUAGCCGGGCGACGGUUGUCCCGGUUUAAGCAUGUAGGCUGRUURUCCAGGCAAAUCCGGAUAAUCAAGGCUGAGGUGUGAUGACGAGGCACUACGGUGCUGAAGUAACAAAUGCCCUGCUUCCAGGAAAAGCCUCUAAGCAUCAGGUAACAUYAAAUCGUACCCCAAACCGACACAGGUGGUCAGGUAGAGAAUACCAAGGCGCUUGAGAGAACUCGGGUGAAGGAACUAGGCAAAAUGGUGCCGUAACUUCGGGAGAAGGCACGCUGGUGUGUAGGUGAAGYCCCUGCGGRUGGAGCUGAGACCAGUCGAAGAUACCAGCUGGCUGCAACUGUUUAUUAAAAACACAGCACUGUGCAAACACGAAAGUGGACGUAUACGGUGUGACGCCUGCCCGGUGCCGGAAGGUUAAUUGAUGGGGUUAUCCGUAAGGAGAAGCUCUUGAUCGAAGCCCCGGUAAACGGCGGCCGUAACUAUAACGGUCCUAAGGUAGCGAAAUUCCUUGUCGGGUAAGUUCCGACCUGCACGAAUGGCGUAAUGAUGGCCAGGCUGUCUCCACCCGAGACUCAGUGAAAUUGAACUCGCUGUGAAGAUGCAGUGUACCCGCGGCAAGACGGAAAGACCCCGUGAACCUUUACUAUAGCUUGACACUGAACAUUGAGCCUUGAUGUGUAGGAUAGGUGGGAGGCUUUGAAGCGUGGACGCCAGUCUGCGUGGAGCCAACCUUGAAAUACCACCCUUUAAUGUUUGAUGUUCUAACGUUGGCCCCUKACCGGGGUUGCGGACAGUGUCUGGUGGGUAGUUUGACUGGGGCGGUCUCCUCCCAAAGCGUAACGGAGGAGCACGAAGGUUAGCUAAUCCUGGUCGGACAUCAGGAGGUUAGUGCAAUGGCAUAAGCUAGCUUGACUGCGAGCGUGACGGCGCGAGCAGGUGCGAAAGCAGGUCAUAGUGAUCCGGUGGUUCUGAAUGGAAGGGCCAUCGCUCAACGGAUAAAAGGUACUCCGGGGAUAACAGGCUGAUACCGCCCAAGAGUUCAUAUCGACGGCGGUGUUUGGCACCUCGAUGUCGGCUCAUCACAUCCUGGGGCUGAAGUAGGUCCCAAGGGUAUGGCUGUUCGCCAUUUAAAGUGGUACGCGAGCUGGGUUUAGAACGUCGUGAGACAGUUCGGUCCCUAUCUGCCGUGGGCGCUGGAGAAUUGAGGGGGGCUGCUCCUAGUACGAGAGGACCGGAGUGGACGCAUCACUGGUGUUCGGGUUGUCAUGCCAAUGGCACUGCCCGGUAGCUAAAUGCGGAAGAGAUAAGUGCUGAAAGCAUCUAAGCACGAAACUUGCCCCGAGAUGAGUUCUCCCUGAGACUUUAAG